UACAUAGGAAUCUACCCAAUGGCGGGGGACGAGCUCGAGGAAACUCGAAUUAAUACCGCGUAAUCUCUACGGAGUAAAGAGGGCUUCGGCUCUCACCAUCGGAUGAGCCUAUGCAAGAUUAGCUUGUUGGUAAGGUAAUGGCUUACCAAGGCUACGAUCUUUAGCUGGUUUGAGAGGAUGACCAGCCACAUCGGGACUGAGACACGGCCCGGACUUCUACGGAAGGCAGCAGUAGGGAAUAUUGGACAAUGAGCGAAAGCUUGAUCCAGCUAUGCCGCGUGUGCGAUGACGGCCCUCGGG
rnacentral:rRNA from 1 species